rnacentral:rRNA from 1 species
GAUGAACGCUGGCGGCGUGCUUAACACAUGCAAGUCGAACGGAAAGGCUCCUGCUUGCAGGGGUACUCGAGUGGCGAACGGGUGAGUAACACGUGGGUGAUCUGCCCUGCACUUCGGGAUAAGCCUGGGAAACUGGGCCUAAUACCGGAUAGGACCACAUUUUGGAUGGUGUGGUGGAAAGUUUUUCGGUGUGGGAUGAGCUCGCGGCCUAUCAGCUUGUUGGUGGGGUAAUGGCCUACCAAGGCGUCGACGGGUAGCCGGCCUGAGAGGGUGUACGGCCACAUUGGGACUGAGAUACGGCCCAGACUCCUACGGGAGGCAGCAGUGGGGAAUAUUGCACAAUGGGCGCAAGCCUGAUGCAGCGACGCCGCGUGGGGGAUGACGGCCUUCGGGUUGUAAACUCCUUUCGCUAGGGACGAAGCGCAAGUGACGGUACCUGGAGAAGAAGCACCAGCUAACUACGUG